CCUACGGGUGGCUGCAGUGGGGAAUAUUGGGCAAUGGGCGCAAGUCUGACCCAGCAACGCCGCGUGAAUGAAGAAGGUUUUCGGGUUGUAAACUUCUUUUGUCAGGGAAGAAGCAAGUGACGGUACCUGAGGAAUAAGCCUCGGCUAACUACGUGCCAGCAGCCGCGGUAAUACGUAGGUGGCAAGCGUUAUCCGGAUUUACUGGGGGUAAAGGGUGCGUAGGCGGGUUAGCAAGUCCGAAGCGUAAGUCCGGGGCCCAACUGCGGGACUGCUUUGGAAACUGUCCGGCUUGAGUGCUGGAGGGGCAAACGGAAUUCCUAGUGUAGCGGUGGAAUGCGUAGAUAUUAGGAGGAACACCAGUGGCGAAGGCGACUUGCUGGACUGUAACUGACGUUGAGGCUCGAAAGCGUGGGGAGCAAACAGGAUUAGAUACCCCAGUAGUC
rnacentral:rRNA from 1 species